rnacentral:misc_RNA from 1 species
UUUCUCCUCCCUAAACAUUGUUUCCAGUCAGUCCUGUCAUUAGUCACCAUCGCCUCCUUCGUCAACACAUCCUCACAGCCCCAGGCACAACAAUCAUCUUCUUCUUAUUCCUCCUCCAGCAGAGAUUCAAUAAAUGCGCUUUUAAAGAAGGCAGCCACUUGCCAACCCUUCGACAUACAAAAAUCUCCAUCUGGCUGCCGGAGGAUUCGCGUGUCCGAUGAGUUUAUAUCGCAACUGAUGGAACAUAGCAAAAUGAAGGAGUCCGAGGAGGAUGAUGAGAGGUCAGGUAAAAGCAGAAGCAGAGUAUGCACCACUCCACAGUUACAGAAGGAUUACAGGUUGCUUGUUGGUUCUCGCGAAUGGAAACCCAAACUGGAGACGAUAAGGGAGAAAGAGAAGAAGAAGAGGCUUUCUUCAUUUGGAAUGAAGAGAAGGA